GACGAACGCUGGCGGCGUGCCUAAUACAUGCAGGUAGAACGCUGAAGGAGGAGCUUGCUUCUCUGGAUGAGUUGCGAACGGGUGAGUAACGCGUAGGUAACCUGCCUGGUAGCGGGGGAUAACUAUUGGAAACGAUAGCUAAUACCGCAUAAUAUUGACUAUUGCAUGAUAGUCAGUUGAAAGGUGCAACUGCACCACUACCAGAUGGACCUGCGUUGUAUUAGCUAGUUGGUGGGGUAACGGCUCACCAAGGCGACGAUACAUAGCCGACCUGAGAGGGUGAUCGGCCACACUGGGACUGAGACACGGCCCAGACUCCUACGGGAGGCAGCAGUAGGGAAUCUUCGGCAAUAGACGGAAGUCUGACCGAGCAACGCCGCGUGAGUGAAGAAGGUUUUCGGAUCGUAAAGCUCUGUUGUAAGAGAAGAACGAGUGUGAGAGUGGAAAGCUCACACUGUGACGGUAUCUUACCAGAAAGGGACGGCUAACUACGUG
rnacentral:rRNA from 1 species